rnacentral:rRNA from 1 species
UUGCCAGCAGCCGCGGUAAUUCCAGCUCCAAUAGCGUAUAUUAAAGUUGUUGCAGUUAAAAAGCUCGUAGUUGAACUUUGGGCCUGGGCGGGCGGUCUACCUAUGGUUUGUACUGCUGCGGCCGGGUCUUUCCUUCUGGCUACCCCUCCGGGGGGAACCAGGACGAUUACUUUGAGGAAAUUAGAGUGUUCAAAGCAGGCCUUUGCUCGGAUAUAUUAGCAUGGAAUAAUAGAAUAGGACGUAUGGUUCUAUUUUGUUGGUUUCUAGGACCAUCGUAAUGAUUAAUAGGGACGGUCGGGGGCAUCAGUAUUCAGUCGUCAGAGGUGAGAUUCUUGGAUUGACUGAAGACUAACUACUGCGAAAGCAUUGCCAAGGACGUUCAUAUCAGAUGAAAGUGA